rnacentral:rRNA from 1 species
CGCAAGCCUGACGGUGCGACGCCGCGUGGAGGAUGAAGGCCUUCGGGUUGUAAACUCCUAACACGGGUUAAGAAGGUCAUGUCGUGAACAGCGGCAUGAUUGACGUAACCCCGAGAUGAAGCACUGGCUAACUCCGUGCCAGCAGCCGCGGUAAUACGGAGAGUGCAAGCGUUACUCGGAAUCACUGGGCUUAAAGGGCACGUAGGCGGCAUCGCAAGUCGGAUGUGAAAGCCCUCGGCUCAACCGAGGAACUGCAUCUGAAACUGCGAAGCUCGAGGACGGUAGGGGAGAGCGGAACUCCUGGUGGAGCGGUGAAAUGCGUAGAUAUCAGGAGGAACACCGGUGGCGAAGGCGGCUCUCUGGUCCGUUUCUGACGCUGAGGUGCGAAAGCCAGGGUAGCG